rnacentral:rRNA from 1 species
UACGGAGGGUGCAAGCGUUAUCCGGAUUCACUGGGUUUAAAGGGUGCGUAGGCGGAUAGGUAAGUCCGUGGUGAAAUCCUGCAGCUUAACUGCAGAACUGCCAUGGAUACUAUUUAUCUUGAAUAUCGUGGAGGUUAGCGGAAUAUGUCAUGUAGCGGUGAAAUGCUUAGAUAUGACAUAGAACACCGAUUGCGAAGGCAGCUCACUAAAUUGUAACUGACGCUGAGGCACGAAAGCGUGGGGAUCAAACAGG